rnacentral:rRNA from 1 species
GCGGAGGAAAAGAAACCAACAGGGAUUGCCUUAGUAACGGCGAGUGAAGCGGCAACAGCUCAAAUUUGAAAUCUGGGUCCUUAGGGCCUCGAGUUGUAAUUUGUAGAGGAUGCUUUGGGGUCGGCGUUGGCCUAAGUCCCUUGGAACAGGGCGUCACAGAGGGUGAGAAUCCCGUACGUGGUCGGCGGCCGUCCCCGUGUAAAGCUCCUUCGACGAGUCGAGUUGUUUGGGAAUGCAGCUCUAAAUGGGAGGUAAAUUUCUUCUAAAGCUAAAUACCGGCCAGAGACCGAUAGCGCACAAGUAGAGUGAUCGAAAGAUGAAAAGCACUUUGGAAAGAGAGUUAAAAAGUACGUGAAAUUGUUGAAAGGGAAGCGCUUGCGACCAGACUUGCCCGCGACUGCUCAGCAGGCCUUCUCGGCCUGUGCACUCUUUCGCGGUCAGGCCAGCAUCAGUUUGGGCGGUCGGACAAAGGCGCCGGGAACGUAGCUCCACUCGGGGAGUGUUAUAGCCCGGCGUGCAAUGCGGCCAGCCCGGACUGAGGCCCGCGCUUCGGCUAGG